rnacentral:rRNA from 1 species
GACGAACGCUGGCGGCGUGCUUAACACAUGCAAGUCGAACGGAAAGGCCCUGCUUUUGUGGGGUGCUCGAGUGGCGAACGGGUGAGUAACACGUGAGUAACCUGCCCCUGGCUUUGGGAUAACUUCAGGAAACUGGGGCUAAUACCGGAUAGGAGCUCCUGCUGCAUGGUGGGGGUUGGAAAGUUUCGGCGGUUGGGGAUGGACUCGCGGCUUAUCAGCUUGUUGGUGGGGUAGUGGCUUACCAAGGCUUUGACGGGUAGCCGGCCUGAGAGGGUGACCGGCCACAUUGGGACUGAGAUACGGCCCAGACUCCUACGGGAGGCAGCAGUGGGGAAUAUUGCACAAUGGGCGGAAGCCUGAUGCAGCAACGCCGCGUGCGGGAUGACGGCCUUCGGGUUGUAAACCGCUUUCGCCUGUGACGAAGCGUGAGUGACGGUAAUGGGUAAAGAAGCACCGGCUAACUACGUG